CUCAUUUGGUUUCGGCUUACAUGACCAUUAUUAUGUCUAAAAGAAUUAAACCUUUACUGUGAAAAUUAUAUCACAUAGUGAUGGUAAUAUGCAGACUUCAAGUUAUAGCUACAACGCCUUCCAAAUCUUAAAUUAAAACGAAAUUGCAUUUUUAAUUUAAAAAAAUAGUUGCCAGAAUUCCAAACCUAUCACGUUUUAAAGUUAUAAUGUUUAUGCAAACAUGUAUGGACAAAUUAAUUUGAACACAUUCAUUGGCAUUAAUAAAAAUAGAAACUUGCACAUCAAUGUUAGUUUCUUGAGAAUAAUGUCAUUUUCAUCACCAAAUACAGACGAUAUUUUGUAAAAUAUUCAUAUUAAUAAUAUUUUAUAAUGUCUGGUGCAUAAGUGUUGCAGUGGUUCUUAGCUCCCAAAAAAAGCAAAAAUUAUGUAAUCAAAAUAAAUUCAGCGACAGGGGCGGAUCCAGCUUUCGAGACGCGGGGCGGGGGGAUGGGUUAAGUAGUAGAAGUUCAGUCUUUUGUUGUCUAUGAAAUUAGAAAAAUAUUUAUUUAUUUAUAUUGUAAGUCGACAUGAAACCAGCACAAGGGGGGAUUAUGACCCCUCUUGAUCCGCCUUUGUUCAACAAGUCAAUAUAAUACUUAGUUUUCGACAUUUGCCUUGUAAUUAAUGAUAAAAAAACUGGAAGCAGAGGGCAAACCAUGCAGGUACAGUCGACCUCAACUUUACGCUUCCGCAGAAUUUUAUUCUCGGCUCUAUGCGCUCCUUCGAAUAACCGCCCCGCGCCUGACAUUCCGUUUCUCACUUUUCGUGAGAGAACAAACCCGUUCGUUAGGGGUUUAGGUAAUUACUUUUGACCCAUGUUUUUUUUUUUGAUUUUACCAUAUUUUAUUUUAAGUUUACCGAUGUUGAUAGUGAUGAUAUUUCAUUAAAAAAUAUGUAAGUUGUUAUUUUUGAGUGAGCACGUUUAAAACAGGUUUAGGUACAUAAAAAUUAAUUACCCUUGAUUAGUUGAACCUUGACAGUUGAAGAUAAAAAGAUUAAAUUAUAAGUAAAAUUUUUGGAAACUUUCACAUUUUGUCGUGCCAAUUGUAGCCACAGUUUUAGACGUUUUACGUCGAAGGCACGUUUAUAAAUGUUUUUCUCCGGUGUAGGUACUAAUACUGGUACACCGGCAUCAUACAAUAUUUGUAAGCCAGAAAAAAUGUUCAAAGACCUUUUUGUUUGAAAUUUGCUUUACUAGAUACAGCUAGUAUUAUCGCUCAAUUAGAUCUUUGCUUAUUGCAUAAAUGCAUAGAGACCUAAUGAUAAUUUUGAAUUGGCUCUUCGAGCAAGGGCGGAUCCAGGGGAGCAGAUCAUGGGGGUCAUGACCUCCCGCCCCCCUUGUGCUGGGAUUACGAGUGUCGGCUAACGAUAAUUUUUCUAAUUUCAUAGACAACAAAAGACUCGAAAGCUGAAUACGCCCCUGUCUUCGAGGGCCGGAUUUUAAUUUUAUCAUCCGAGAAUCGGGCAUAUUUCGUGCCACUUCGAUUGUGGUACUUAUGUUUUGUACAUGCUGAUAAGCAAAUAAAUUAUUUAAGGAAAACAUUUUAACUUUACGGAAUGCGCGGAUUCACUCUGAAUAAGUUUUAUCCGUAGCAAGGCUCACUGGAUCCGAUCAAUGGUGGAUUUUCAUUUGUUUAGUUAUCCAAUGUGGCGGAGAGAAUUUCUUCAUAUUUUCCACUUGGUAGAAUCACUUAUUUUUCACUACAAUUUGGUACUUCACCCCUCGUACCACCAUAUAUAUGAUUCUUAUUUUGAAAUUUGCAAAUUUUUUUUCCGAAUUAAAAACGCGUUUUUAUUCGACAACUCUUAAACCUACUUAAAACAUGUCAGUAUUUUUUAACUGAUGGCAAUAAGCGUUCGAAAGCGAAUUCUCAGCUAAGCAGAACUAUUCUUACUUAUCAAAAUCUUUGAACAUUGGCUUCAGCAAAAUUCUUCGGUGGAUUAUCUUUUGCUUAACUUUAUACACGGCGUCUUCACACAGGCUUCUGUGCUGGGUAUUGACAGAUUGCCAGUCUUUACCUCCUAAUUUAGAAGCCUCGACUAAGUCGUCUUUUGGUUGGGGUAUCUCUACUUCCACAUUCGGAUUUUUCUCCAAUUCCUAAAGCAAAGCAAUAUUUUGUCAUGAUUACUAAAAACGUGAUAUUUCAUAACUAGAUACUUGGAUUGUGAAUAUGUGAUCUACAUCAUCCUCAAAUGUUUUCCAGCAAACUCUAGUAGAAUCACACGGAUCUCUGUAUUGAUUAAUCACAGCUUGAACGUCGGGCAAUGAAAGGAAAAAUCGCUGCUUUCCGUUCAAAGCUAAAGCGUCUAACCCCCGAUGGAACUGGUCCACAGAAAUUCUUCCAGAGUUAAGAACAUCAAAAUGCUAAAAUAAAUGUUAAUGCAAUAAGCUAUGAAAGUUUUGCAAAAUAGCUUGCAAAAAGUACCUUGAAAAAUGUAUUGACCCUCAACCUGUUUCUUGAGACAUGUUCCUGAAUCAUCGACAUGGUGGUUAAAAUAUGUUCUACUUUUUUGGGAUCCUCCAAAGCUGGAUGAAAUAUGUUUUGUUUUCCGAACAGCUUGGAAGCCAUUAUUUUUCCAAUUUCAGGUCGAGGCAAUUUUGGUAGUUCUGCAUUAAUAACUCUUCCUGGAAAAAUCGCCAUAAUAUCCUAAUGACCAAGAACAAGAUCGUUAUUAGCCAUGACAAUUAAUUAGAUAAAAUGCCCUUACGCCGCUUAGGUCCAAAAUACCAUUCCGGUCCAAAUACUGAACAACCUCAUCGAUAGCGUGCAAAAAUGCAAUAUAAUUCAAUGUGUAGCUGUCUUUAAGGUAUUUUUUUACUAACAGAUUAAAAUCAUCAGCCGAUAGCAGUAUUCCUAAGUACGCCAUAAUUCUAGCGAAGUGGGCUAUUGUAACUGUUCCAUUGUUCUUCGAAACCUAGAUAAAACUGUGUAAGAAUUUUUGAACAAAUAAAGAUGAAAAUGUAGAGAA